rnacentral:rRNA from 1 species
AAUACGUUCCCGGGCCUUGUACACACCGCCCGUCAAGCCAUGGGAGUUGGGGGUACCUGAAGUCGAUCACCGUCAAGGAGUCGCCUAGGGUAAAACCAAUGACUGGGGCUAAAGUCGUAAACAAGGUACCC